UACGUAGGGGGCAAGCGUUGUCCGGAUUUAUUGGGCGUAAAGAGCGUGUAGGCGGCCUGACAGGUCUGCUGUGAAAACUCGAGGCUCAACCUCGAGAUGUCGGCGGAAACCGUCUGGCUAGAGUCCGGAAGAGGAGAGUGGAAUUCCUGGUGUAGCGGUGAAAUGCGCAGAUAUCAGGAAGAACACCCGUGGCGAAGGCGGGUUGCUGGGCCGACACUGACGCUGAGGCGCGAAAGCCAGGGGAGGCGAACGGG
rnacentral:rRNA from 1 species